rnacentral:rRNA from 1 species
CCUACGGGUUGCAGCAGUGGGGAAUAUUGCACAAUGGGCGCAAGCCUGAUGCAGCCAUGCCGCGUGUAUGAAGAAGGCCUUCGGGUUGUAAAGUACUUUCAGCGAGGAGGAAGGCGUUAAGGUUAAUAACCUUGGCGAUUGACGUUACUCGCAGAAGAAGCACCGGCUAACUCCGUGCCAGCAGCCGCGGUAAUACGGAGGGUGCAAGCGUUAAUCGGAACUACUGGGCGUAAAGCGCACGCAGGCGGUCUGUCAAGUCGGAUGUGAAAUCCCCGGGCUUAACCUGGGAACUGCAUUCGAAACUGGCAGGCUGGAGUCUUGUAGAGGGGGGUAGAAUUCCAGGUGUAGCGGUGAAAUGCGUAGAGAUCUGGAGGAAUACCGGUGGUGAAGGCGGCCCCCUGGACAAAGACUGACGCUCAGGUGCGAAAGCGUGGGGAGCAAACAGGAUUAGAUACCCGCGUAGUC